UACAGAGACCUCAAGCGUUAUCCGGAAUUAUUGGGCGUAAAGAGCUCGUAGGCGGUUUGUCGCGUCUGCCGUGAAAGUCCGGGGCUCAACUCCGGAUCUGCGGUGGGUACGGGCAGACUAGAGUGAUGUAGGGGAGACUGGAAUUCCUGGUGUAGCGGUGAAAUGCGCAGAUAUCAGGAAGAACACCAAUGGCGAAGGCAGCUCUCUGGGACGGUACUGACGCUGAGACGCGAAAGCGUGGGGAGCGAACAGG
rnacentral:rRNA from 1 species